AUGUGGACGGAUAACACUGAGCAGAGCUUUCAACUCCUCAAGACGAGCCUGACAUCCGCCCCAGUCCUUGCCUUACCCAAUUUCCAGAAACAGUUUACAGUGGAGACGGAUGCGUGCGAUACAGGAAUCGGCGCGGUAUUGCAGCAAGAGGGGCACCCUAUCGCGUUCAUGAGCAAAGCACUCUGCCCAAAAUACCGAGGCUUAUCUACCUAUGAGAAAGAAUAUUUGGCUAUUAUCGCUGCAAUUGAUCAAUGGAGACCGUACCUACAGUCUGCAGAGUUUGUGAUCAAGACGGAUCAGCGCAACUUGGUGUAUCUGCAAGAACAACGACUCAGCACACCGUGGCAACAGCGUGCAUUUACAAAACUAUUGGGGCUCCAAUACAAGAUCAGCUACAAGAAGGGAAGCGAGAACAGCGCGGCAGACGCCCUUUCUCGCCUUCAGCAAACAGAACAAGUCUUGGGCAUCUCAAGUUGUCAGCCAUCCUGGCUUGACGACAUUGUGGCCAGUUACAAUGCCAAUCCACAAGCACAACGCCUACUCGAACAACUAGCUGUUAAGCCAGACCCCAAGGGGCGUUUCGCUCUGUCCCAGGGAGUGCUACGAUUUCGCGACCGCAUCUGGCUUGGCGGGAGCACCUCUCUACAACAACGAAUCAUCUCUGCUUUUCAUGUCAGUCCCGUUGGCGGGCACUCGGGUUUCCCUGUCACCUACAAACGCAUCCGGCGGCUCUUUGCUUGGCCCAAGAUGAAGCAUCACAUACUCCAGUACGUCCAGUGUUGCACAAUCUGCUAA
rnacentral:rRNA from 1 species